ensembl:lncRNA
CUCAAGGCAACCAAGGAAGACCAAGGUCAGUACACACAGGGUAGUAAUGGCGUGGACACACCGGUCGACGGCAGACAUGGCACCUGUAUCGCGUCUUCCUGUCCAAGCCUGUGGGGCAGUCAGCACACCUCACUAAGGGACCACUGCUGCCACUGGUCCUGCCUCACCUUCAAGAGUGCCAGGGAUCUGGAAAAUGCAAGUCCCAGGGGCUCUUCUCUUCCUCGUCAUGGGCUCUAUCUCUGCCAAAAAGGUGGGGGAUUUUGGUGUGUUUACUGCUUGCAUCGACACAAAGGAAAAUAACAGUCUCAGAUUGCAGUGCUACUAUCAAGACUGUUCACAACCUCCCUAUAUGCCCUUCAGCUGUGAAUUCAAGACAUCGAAUGGAGGUAUACUGGCUACAAUGAAAAACACGAUGUGCAAGAAUUACACUGUCCCAUUAACAGAACACAGUCUUAGCGAGUUGCAAGAGACUGGUAAUGUGACAAACUUCACAUGCACACUGACAAGAAACAAGAGGACUGAAACGAAGAAUAUCACCAUAGACUACAAGGCACACAAAGAAAAACAACGAGUCCCAAAGUGCUGUGCUGCAAGCCCAACCUCCCUGUGGCCUGUGGUGCUCCUCACUCUGUGGAGAGUCGUUGACUCCUGAUGAAGCAAGCAUGAAGGAGGGUCUCUGAACGCUUUGACUAACACAGAUGUAUCUGUUCCAUUUAGGCAUUUUGAAAUUUAAGAAACUUUCUUAAAUACAUUUCUAUGCAGGCUUCCAUUACUUGCCUGAUCCCCAAGUACAUGCAAUAAUGCAGUAUGUUAACAUAUAAACUGAAUUCCAACUAUGAUAUAUGAUAAUAUGAUAUAUUAAAGACUUAUGAAUUAAAAGCAUUAACUCAC